GAGGCGUGGGGCGCCGGCCUGUAGGCAGGGCCGUGCGUGCCCCCUGUGCUUGGUGAGCUGUGUUCUGAGAGACAGACCCCCUGUACUCAGGCGGGAAUGUGGCCCCGGCCUUUCAGAGGCACGGGGCUGCGAGAUGUGGGGCUGGGCUUGCACCCUCCCUGGAUUUGGGGCUGGCAUCUGACCGCGGCCUUUGGCCGUGUCGCCCCGCUGCCUGGCGGCUCAGAGUUGCUCCUGCUGCUGGGGGGGAAACCGAGCUCUGUGGCUCCAGGGGUGUUGUCGGCCCGCCUGUAAUCAGGGUCUGGGCGUGCGAGCCUCUAUGCUCUGCUGGCAGCCCGUGUGGGGUGACCGCCCUGUUAGCGGGCUGCGGGUCAAAUCGCCCCCGACUGGGAGAGAAGGAGCCUCCCGCGGCCUUAGGGAUGGGGGCUGCCCUGUAACUCAGGGAGCAGCUGUGCCCCGCAGUCCCAGGCCCUUUGCCAUGGAGACAGUGGCGGGGGGGUCCCCUGUAAGCAGGGAAGCAGACUCCUUCGCCACUGCUUUUAGUGUGCCCAGCUCCAUUUGCCCAGUCUGCCCGCCUCUGCGAUCCCCUGCAACGCUGGCUGGAGCCUGCGCCGUGCGCCUCUGAGGAUGUGCUGCCGAUGAUGGAAGAAGCGGUGUGGAGAACCGGGAGGCAGGAGCGAAGAAGAUGAAGAGGAAGCAGAAGCCUGCAGAUGCGGGGGGGAAGGAGAGAGGCACCCUGGGCAAAGCAUCUCCCUGCUAGCAGGGGCAUAGUCGAAUUGGAGUUGAGCGUUGCCGGCACCUUGGGUGACCUGGCCGGCUUUGUGCUGGGCGACCUCCCUGUAAGCAGGGCUCCGGUCUUUGCUGUAGCUGUAGUUGGCCUUUUGCAACCUUGCUCCUUUGGCUGCCUGGGGAGCGUGGCCCCCUGUACGGAGGGCGAGAGCCACCUCUCCGGACCCGAGUGGGAAAUGGAGCUCGCUGGACCCCAGGGCCACCCUGUAAGCAGGGUAGUGCCUUUCCCUGCCCCUCCUCCUCCUCCGGCCCCUCAGUGCUGUUGCCUGCUGGUGGCCUGUCAAUGUGCCAGCCCUGUACUUGUACUUCUGUCAAAUGGCGUGGAGCCCUCUGUCCCCCGAGCGGCCUACUGCCCCUAUGCUCCCUGUAAUCAGGGCUGGGGAGGCUGCAGCGCUGCAGCCGGCUGCUUUAGCCAUCCAGCUGGUGGGAGUGACCCCUCCCUGUCCCAUCAGAGGGUGCAGGUUGAGGUGCUGACUGUGUGUGGGGUGACCUCCUCGCUCGGUGGGUUGAGGUUGCUCUCUGGGCUCCCAAAGAUGUGCUGAUGUUGUGCUGCCGGGCGGGCCAGCCUGUAGCUCAGGCGUUGGCGGGAGCCACGUGCUCCGUGGGGCUUCUUGGAGAUAGAUGGUGAGGCGUGGGGCGCCGGCCUGUAGGCAGGGCCGUGCGUGCCCCCUGUGCUUGGUGAGCUGUGUUCUGAGAGACAGACCCCCUGUACUCAGGCGGGAAUGUGGCCCCGGCCUUUCAGAGGCACGGGGCUGCGAGAUGUGGGGCUGGGCUUGCACCCUCCCUGGAUUUGGGGCUGGCAUCUGACCGCGGCCUUUGGCCGUGUCGCCCCGCUGCCUGGCGGCUCAGAGUUGCUCCUGCUGCUGGGGGGGAAACCGAGCUCUGUGGCUCCAGGGGUGUUGUCGGCCCGCCUGUAAUCAGGGUCUGGGCGUGCGAGCCUCUAUGCUCUGCUGGCAGCCCGUGUGGGGUGACCGCCCUGUUAGCGGGCUGCGGGUCAAAUCGCCCCCGACUGGGAGAGAAGGAGCCUCCCGCGGCCUUAGGGAUGGGGGCUGCCCUGUAACUCAGGGAGCGGCUGUGCCCCGCAGUCCCAGGCCCUUUGCCAUGGAGACAGUGGCGGGGGGUCCCUGUAAGCAGGGAAGCAGACUCCUUCGCCACUGCUUUUAGCGUGCCCAGCUCCAUUUGCCCAGUCUGCCCGCCUCUGCGAUCCCCUGCAACGCUGGCUGGAGCCUGCGCCGUGCGCCUCUGAGGAUGUGCUGCCGAUGAUGGAAGAAGCGGUGUGGAGAACCGGGAGGCAGGAGCGAAGAAGAUGAAGAGGAAGCAGAAGCCUGCAGAUGCGGGGGGGAAGGAGAGAGGCACCCUGGGCAAAGCAUCUCCCUGCUAGCAGGGGCAUAGUCGAAUUGGAGUUGAGCGUUGCCGGCACCUUGGGUGACCUGGCCGGCUUUGUGCUGGGCGACCUCCCUGUAAGCAGGGCUCCGGUCUUUGCUGUAGCUGUAGUUGGCCUUUUGCAACCUUGCUCCUUUGGCUGCCUGGGGAGCGUGGCCCCCUGUACGGAGGGCGAGAGCCACCUCUCCGCACCCGAGUGGGAAAUGGAGCUCGCUGGACCCCAGGGCCACCCUGUAAGCAGGGUAGUGCCUUUCCCUGCCCCUCCUCCUCCUCCGGCCCCGCAGUGCUGUUGCCUGCUGGUGGCCUGUCAAUGUGCCGGCCCUGUACUCGGGGUGUGUGUCACGGCGUUUGGCCUUUGUCCUUUCUUGAGUAGCCCCUUGGCACGUUGAGAUCUGUGGCCUCCGUGCAGCCCGGGAUGGGUCCCAGGCUCUUGUCUGUUGCUCGUAGGUGUGGGUUUAUUCCCAGGGAUUGGCUGUGCUGCGUUGUCCUUCCCUUCUGGAAAGUUGCAUCUGUGUGUGUGUUGCCCUUCCUUUCCUUGUUUGUGUUUGUGGAGUGACUGAGCACCUGUGCUUUCCCUUUAGGCCUCCUCAAAGAUUGCUGCAGCUUAGCUGUGACUUCCCAGGGGGGAAUGGAGGACUUUGGUGCAUGCCGCAUGA